UUGCACUAUAGAGACCGGCGCACGGGUGCGUAACGCGUAUGCAAUCUACCUUAUACAGGGGAAUAGCCCAGGGAAACUUGGAUUAAUGCCCCAUAGUAUCAUUAAGUAGCAUUACUUGAUGAUUAAAGAUUUAUCGCCGAUGGAUCGGCCCGCGUCUGAUUAGCUUGUUGGUGAGGUAAUGGCUCACCAAGGCAACGAUCAGUAGCUGGUCUGAGAGGAUGAUCAGCCACAUUGGGACUGAGACACGGCCCAAACUCC
rnacentral:rRNA from 1 species